UUGAUUUCCUGCCAGUGGUCGUUGGAAUUCCAGCGCCCUUUACCCUUUCGACAGUACGCUCGGAUCUGCCCACGCGCGCUGGGCGUGGCGAGAGAUCGCCACGAGGAAGACCCGGAAGAUCCCGAAUUGUGUCUAUGCUAGUCGAUCAUCCUUCGCUCCGAAAAGAAAUCGCAUCCUAACACUGCCGCGCUAAUUGCUGCUAAUAUUGAUUAAACGAAACAAUGUACUGAACUUUGACAUUUCCUAACCACAGGGUGCAAGUUAAACGAAACCGUUCUCCGCUAACGUUAUACGAGUAUUCCCUUUGGAUAGCAGUAAAAUUUUAUCUGACGACCUACAUUCUACCCCUUUUGGAAGAACGCUAAGAGAUUCUGCAUGUUAUUAUCGAGAUACUUGAAAAUAUAAUUGAUCGUCGGAGCUGUCGCGGAUGGAAAGACGUCAGCGAGUCGAAGAGGUUGGGUCAAGGCUGUGAUACUGUCGCACACGUCCUUUGUUCAGGUUGUUCAAGGGAACAUCGAACGAGUAGAGCAUAAGUGGGACAUCCACUUGUCGCUCUUCGAUCUGCAGUCUCCGAGGACGAUGCACAUAGAUGACGAGGGAAGUUUCGUUACCUAAGAACGAACCUUGCUUUCUGAACGCUUAUUUGAUCGAUCGACAA